CGGCGUGUUCAUCUCACAGCAACAGCGCUUUCUGCCCACAGGCAGAAACCUGUUUCAGGGACACACCUCCAUGCCGGCACCCGGGGGUUCGAGUCCCAGGACGGUGGAGAACCGGAGGCGCAUCUUGAGCCUGGAGCCGUUUCACCAGAGCAGCAUCAGCAGCAGCCGGCUGAAGAGAGAGAGGGAGGAGGAGAGGACGGGAAACCCCAACAAGAAGACCAAGCUCACCGGCGACUCGACCCUUGAGGAUGUCAGGAAACUCAAGGUCUGCAUUGAGCUUAACGGCCUUAGACUCAACAAGCCCCGCCUCCCCGGGGAGCUCAGCCAAUGGCUGCCCUCCAGCCAGAGAUCAGUGGAGGUCGACUGGAAGUUCAACAGGGACGAUGCUGUGGUCGGGGUGAGGUCAGAGGUCAACGGAGGCUGGUGUGGCCCCACGUCUGUCAGGAGGGGCGACCUGAGAGUUUUCCACAUGGCCCCGCCCUCCUCUCUCGCUCACCCAUGCAGCUCCGCCCCCCGGCAACCUUCCCCUGCAUCCUUCACCUCCCUCGCCUCCUCCCGCCUCCAGGACAAGCAUCAGAAGCUGAGGGAGAGCCGCAGGGUCUCCAGUUUUCUCCCUUCCUUACUUCCUCUUCCUCCUCCGUCCUCUUCGUCCCUACCUGACCGCCCCCCCUUCCAUUGCCACGCCGAUGACCUCAACAAGCCGAAGGGCAAGCGACCCUGCAAGCUGAAGCACACUGAGGGGGAGACGGGGGGGGAGGAGGGAGACGGGGGAGGACGUAACGAUGAGACAGGUGGUAAGG
rnacentral:lncRNA from 1 species